CGCCUAACCGGAUUGAAAUGGUAUCCUUUUUUGUUUUUUAGAUUUUAAUGAAGCAAGCACUUCAACAAAAAAGAUUAGUGUAAGGCCGGACGAACA
rnacentral:sRNA from 1 species